rnacentral:rRNA from 1 species
UUUCGGUACGAGAUGAGCCCGCGGCCUAUCAGCUUGUUGGUGGGGUAAUGGCCUACCAAGGCGUCGACGGGUAGCCGGCCUGAGAGGGUGGACGGCCACAUUGGGACUGAGAUACGGCCCAGACUCCUACGGGAGGCAGCAGUGGGGAAUAUUGCACAAUGGGCGCAAGCCUGAUGCAGCGACGCCGCGUGAGGGAUGACGGCCUUCGGGUUGUAAACCUCUUUCGACAGGGACGAAGCUUUUGUGACGGUACCUGUAUAAGAAGCACCGGCUAACUACGUGCCAGCAGCCGCGGUAAUACGUAGGGUGCGAGCGUUGUCCGGAAUUACUGGGCGUAAAGAGCUCGUAGGUGGUUUGUCGCGUCGUCUGUGAAAUUCCGGGGCUUAACUCCGGGCGUGCAGGCGAUACGGGCAUAACUUGAGUGCUGUAGGGGAGACUGGAUUCCUGGUGUAGCGGUGGAAUGCGCAGAUAUCAGGAGGAACACCGAUGCGAAGGCAGGUCUCUGGGCAGUAACUGACGCUGAGGAGCGAAAGCAUGG